rnacentral:rRNA from 1 species
UACAGAGGGUGCGAGCGUUAAUCGAAGUUACUGGGCGUAAAGGGCGCGUAGGCGGCUUGAUAAGGUUGCGGUGAAAGCCCGGGGCUCAACCCCGGGUCGGCCGUGGCAACUGUCGAGCUGGAGCACUGUAGAGGCAGGUGGAAUUCCGGGUGUAGCGGUGGAAUGCGUAGAGAUCCGGAAGAACACCGGUGGCGAAGGCGGCCUGCUGGGCAGUGGCUGACGCUGAGGCGCGACAGCGUGGGGAGCAAACAGG